rnacentral:rRNA from 1 species
UAAGUUAGUAGUGAAAGCGUCCGGCUCAACCGGAUAAACAUUACUAAAACUGCAAAGCUAGAGGACAAGAGAGGUCACUGGAAUUCCUUGUGUAGGAGUGAAAUCCGUAGAUAUAAGGAGGAACACCGAUGGCGUAGGCAGGUGACUGGCUUGUUCCUGACACUAAGGCACGAAAGCGUGGGUAGCAAACGGGAUUAGAUACCCCGGUAGUCCACGCCGUAAACGAUGGAUGCUA